AUUGAACGCUGGCGGCAGGCCUAACACAUGCAAGUCGAGCGGAUGAAGGGAGCUUGCUCCUGAUUCAGCGGCGGACGGGUGAGUAAUGUCUAGGAAUCUGCCUGGUAGUGGGGGAUAACGUCCGGAAACGGGCGCUAAUACCGCAUACGUCCUGAGGGAGAAAGUGGGGGAUCUUCGGACCUCACGCUAUCAGAUGAGCCUAGGUCGGAUUAGCUAGUUGGUGGGGUAAAGGCCUACCAAGGCGACGAUCCGUAACUGGUCUGAGAGGAUGAUCAGUCACACUGGAACUGAGACACGGUCCAGACUCCUACGGGAGGCAGCAGUGGGGAAUAUUGGACAAUGGGCGAAAGCCUGAUCCAGCCAUGCCGCGUGUGUGAAGAAGGUCUUCGGAUUGUAAAGCACUUUAAGUUGGGAGGAAGGGCAGUAAGUUAAUACCUUGCUGUUUUGACGUUACCAACAGAAUAAGCACCGGCUAACUUCGUG
rnacentral:rRNA from 1 species